CCCCUUUUGGCCUCUUCUAGUGUAAUUUGUCAUCACUUUUGUGCACUCUUGGAAUGCAGAACAUGAUAUCGUGAAAGAAAAAGAACGAUGAUGAAAAGAAUGGAGGAAUAAUGCAGAGCAAAAAGACAUCUGUGGCUGUGUAAUUUGUCAUCACUUUUGUGCACUCUUGGAAUGCAGAACAUGAUAUCGUGAAAGAAAAAGAACGAUGAUGAAAAGAACGGAGGAAUAAUGCAGAGCAAAAAGACAUCUGUGGCUGUGUAAUUUGUCAUCAUUUUUGUGCACUCUUGGAUUGCAGAACAUGAUAUCGUGAAAGAAAAGAACGAUGAUGAAAGAACGGAGAAUAAUGCAGAGCAAAAAGACAUCUGUGGCUGGUAAUUCUUGUUUUAUAUUAACUUUAUUUCCACUAGAAAUGCUUGAAUGUUAUAAUUUGUACGUCCCUUUUCACAUGUUGCUUUAUAUUGGAGUUUUACUAGUUAUUUAUUUUACAUGAACGCUUCACAUUAUGUUUUAAUGUUUAGGGUAGCAUUUAUGCAUUAAUUUCUUAGGUUUUGAAUUCCAUAUUGAAGUGUCUGAAUUGGUGCUUUCUUUAUAUUGUAUUGUAAUAUUCGAAGUGAGGUUGAACUGUUAAUCACACUAUAAUUAUCAGAAGUCUGAGAUUUGUUAGAGUUCUGUUGCUUCGUAGUGGUUUCAAAAUUACUGCUGUAGUGUAAUUUUUUCCCAAGUGGCCUCCUUUCGCAUUACGAGGAGGAGGCUAAACAUUUUCCUCUCUGUGUGGCCUAAUAUUUUCCCUGUCCAACGGGGUCUUCUCUUCCCAACAGGUCAGUGUAAUUGCACUGCCUGUGUAUAAACCAAUUUUGUUUCAGUUUUUUUCCGAAUUUAGAGUCUCUCUAUCAAGUGCUGUUUCUCUUAAAACCAUUGAAAGUUAAAUGUUGAACAAAAAA